UACGAAGGGGGCUAGCGUUGUUCGGAAUUACUGGGCGUAAAGCGCACGUAGGCGGACAUUUAAGUCAGGGGUGAAAUCCCGGGGCUCAACCUCGGAACUGCCUUUGAUACUGGGUGUCUUGAGUGUGGAAGAGGUCAGUGGAAUUGCGAGUGUAGAGGUGAAAUUCGUAGAUAUUCGCAGGAACACCAGUGGCGAAGGCGGCUGACUGGUCCACAACUGACGCUGAGGUGCGAAAGCGUGGGGAGCAAACAGGG
rnacentral:rRNA from 1 species